rnacentral:rRNA from 1 species
AUCAACUUUCGAUGGUAGGAUAGAGGCCUACCAUGGUGGUAACGGGUAACGGGGUGUUAGGGCACGACACCGGAGAGGGAGCCUGAGAAACGGCUACCACAUCCAAGGAAGGCAGCAGGCGCGCAAAUUAUCCAAUCCCGACACGGGGAGGUAGUGACAAUAAAUAACAAUACAGGGUUCUUUUGGAUCUUGUAAUUGGAAUGAGUACAAUUUAAAUCUCUUAACGAGGAACAAUUGGAGGGCAAGUCUGGUGCCAGCAGCCGCGGUAAUUCCAGCUCCAAUAGCGUAUAUUAAAGUUGUUGCAGUUAAAAAGCUCGUAGUUGAAUUUCGGGAUCAAUGUUUCGGUCAUGCCCUUGGUAUGUACUGAUAUUAUUGGUUUCUCACCUUCUAAAGAACCGUAAUGCCAUUAAUUUGGUGUCACGGGGAAUUAGGACUGUUACCUUGAAAAAAUUAGAGUGUUUAAAGCAGGCUCACGCUUGAAUACAUUAGCAUGGAAUAAUGAAAUAGGACAUCCGAUUCUAUUUUGUUGGUUUCUAGGAUCGAUGUAAUGAUUAAUAGGGAUAGUUGGGGGCAUUAGUAUUCAAUUGUCAGAGGGUGAAAUUCUUUGGAUUUAUUGAAGACUAACUACUGCGAAAGCAUUUGCCAAAGGAUGUUUUUCAUUAAUCAAGAACGAAAGUUAGGGGAUCGAAGACGAUCAGAUACCGUCGUANUCUUAACCAUAACUAUGCCGACUAGGGAUCGGAUGAUGUUAAUUUUUAAUGACUCAUUCGACGCCUUACGGGAAACAAAAAUGUUU